rnacentral:rRNA from 1 species
CGGGACGGGUGAGUAAUGUCUGGGAAACUGCCUGAUGGAGGGGGAUAACUACUGGAAACGGUAGCUAAUACCGCAUAACGUCGCAAGACCAAAGAGGGGGACCGUUCGGGCCUCUUGCCAUCGGAUGUGCCCAGAUGGGAUUAGCUAGUAGGUGGGGUAACGGCUCACCUAGGCGGCGAUCCCUAGCUGGUCUGAGAGGAUGACCAGCCACACUGGAACUGAGACACGGUCCAG